rnacentral:sRNA from 1 species
GAUAUGGAAGAUUCGAACCUGCCGCAGGUUCGGGUCUCACGUAGUGAGACAACGGAGCCGCUUGCGGCGACGGCCCGAAGGGCGAGCAAAGCGAGUCAUCCUGCACGACCCACCA